rnacentral:rRNA from 1 species
UACGUAGGGGGCGAGCGUUGUCCGGAAUUAUUGGGCGUAAAGAGCGUGUAGGCUGUUCGGUAAGUCUGCCGUGAAAACCUGAGGCUCAACCUCGGGCGUGCGGUGGAUACUGCCGGGCUAGAGGACGGUAGAGGCGAGUGGAAUUCCCGGUGUAGCGGUGAAAUGCGCAGAUAUCAGGAGGAACACCAAUUGCGAAGGCAGCUCGCUGGGACGUUACUGACGCUGAGACGCGAAAGCUAGGGGAGCAAACGGG